AGUGAACGCUGGCGGUAGGCCUAACACAUGCAAGUCGAACGGCAGCACAGUAAGAGCUUGCUCUUACGGGUGGCGAGUGGCGGACGGGUGAGGAAUACAUCGGAAUCUACUUUUUCGUGGGGGAUAACGUAGGGAAACUUACGCUAAUACCGCAUACGACCUACGGUUGAAAGCAGGGGAUCUUCGGACCUUGCGCGAUUGAAUGAGCCGAUGUCGGAUUAGCUAGUUGGCGGGGUAAAGGCCCACCAAGGCGACGAUCCGUAGCUGGUCUGAGAGGAUGAACAGCCACACUGGAAAUAAGACACGGUCCAGACUCCUACGGGAGGCAGCAGUGGGGAAUAUUGGACAAAGGGCGCAAGCCUGAUCCAGCCAUACCGCGUGGGUGAAGAAGGCCUUCGGGUUGUAAAGCCCUUUUGUUGGGAAAGAAAAGCAGCAGGUUAAUACCCCGCUGUUCUGACGGUACCCAAAGAAUAAGCACCGGCUAACUUCGUG
rnacentral:rRNA from 1 species